CCUACGGGAGGCAGCAGUGAGGAAUAUUGGUCAAUGGACGAGAGUCUGAACCAGCCAAGUAGCGUGAAGGAUGACUGCCCUAUGGGUUGUAAACUUCUUUUAUAUGGGAAUAAAAUGUUCCACGUGUGGGAUUUUGUAUGUACCAUAUGAAUAAGGAACGGCUAACUCCGUGCCAGCAGCCGCGGUAAUACGGAGGAUCCGAGCGUUAUCCGUAUUUAUUGGGUUUAAAGGGAGCGUAGGUGGAUUGUUAAGUCAGUUGUGAAAGUUUGCGGCUCAACCGUAAAAUUGCAGUUGAAACUGGCAGUCUUGAGUACAGUAGAGGUGGGCGGAAUUCGUGGUGUAGCGGUGAAAUGCUUAGAUAUCACGAAGAACUCCGAUUGCGAAGGCAGUUCACUGGACUGCAACUGACACUGAGGCUCGAAAGUGUGGGUAUCAAACAGGAUUAGAUACCCUAGUAGUC
rnacentral:rRNA from 1 species